rnacentral:rRNA from 1 species
GCUACAGGCUUAACACAUGCAAGUCGAGGGGAAACGAUAUUGGAAGCUUGCUUCCGAUAGGCGUCGACCGGCGCACGGGUGAGUAACGCGUAUCCAACCUGCCCACCACUUGGGGAUAACCUUGCGAAAGUAAGACUAAUACCCAAUGAUAUCUCAAGAAGACAUCUGAAUGAGAUUAAAGAUUUAUCGGUGAUGGAUGGGGAUGCGUCUGAUUAGCUUGUUGGCGGGGUAACGGCCCACCAAGGCGACGAUCAGUAGGGGUUCUGAGAGGAAGGUCCCCCACAUUGGAACUGAGACACGGUCCAAACUCCUACGGGAGGCAGCAGUGAGGAAUAUUGGUCAAUGGGCGAGAGCCUGAACCAGCCAAGUAGCGUGCAGGAUGACGGCCCUAUGGGUUGUAAACUGCUUUUAUAAGGGAAUAAAGUGAGUCUCGUGAGGCUUUUUGCAUGUACCUUAUGAAUAAGGACCGGCUAAUUCCGUGCCAGCAGCCGCGGUAAUACGGUAGGUCCGGGCGUUAUCCGGAUUUAUUGGGUUUAAAGGGAGCGUAGGCCGGAGAUUAAGCGUGUUGUGAAAUGUAGACGCUCAACGUCAGCACUGCAGCGCGAACUGGUUUCCUUGAGUACGCACAAAGUGGGCGGAAUUCGUGGUGUAGCGGUGAAAUGCUUAGAUAUCACGAAGAACUCCGAUUGCGAAGGCAGCUCACUGGAGCGCAACUGACGCUGAAGCUCGAAAGUGCGGGUAUCGAACAGGAUUAGAUACCCUGGUAGUCCGCACGGUAAACGAUGGAUGCCCGCUGUUGGUCUGAAUAGGUCAGCGGCCAAGCGAAA